rnacentral:rRNA from 1 species
AUUGAACGCUGGCGGCAUGCCUUACACAUGCCAGUCGAACGGCAGCACGGGUGCUUGCACCUGGUGGCGAGUGGCGAACGGGUGAGUAAUACAUCGGAACAUGUCCUGUAGUGGGGGAUAGCCCGGCGAAAGCCGGAUUAAUACCGCAUACGAUCCACGGAUGAAAGCGGGGGACCUUCGGGCCUCGCGCUUUCGGGUUGGCCGAUGGCUGAUUAGCUAGUUGGUGGGGUAAAGGCCUACCAAGGCGACGAUCAGUAGCUGGUCUGAGAGGACGACCAGCCACACUGGGACUGAGACACGGCCCAGACUCCUACGGGAGGCAGCAGUGGGGAAUUUUGGACAAUGGGCGAAAGCCUGAUCCAGCAAUGCCGCGUGUGUGAAGAAGGCCUUCGGGUUGUAAAGCACUUUCGUCCGGAAAGAAAUCCUUGGCUCUAAUACAGUCGGGGGAUGACGGUACCGUAAGAAUAAGCACCGGCUAACUACGUG